rnacentral:rRNA from 1 species
AUGAACGCUGGCGGCGUGCCUAAUACAUGCAAGUCGAGCGAACGGACGAGAAGCUUGCUUCUCUGAUGUUAGCGGCGGACGGGUGAGUAACACGUGGAUAACCUACCUAUAAGACUGGGAUAACUUCGGGAAACCGGAGCUAAUACCGGAUAAUAUUUUGAACCGCAUGGUUCAAAAGUGAAAGACGGUCUUGCUGUCACUUAUAGAUGGAUCCGCGCUGCAUUAGCUAGUUGGUAAGGUAACGGCUUACCAAGGCAACGAUGCAUAGCCGACCUGAGAGGGUGAUCGGCCACACUGGAACUGAGACACGGUCCAGACUCCUACGGGAGGCAGCAGUAGGGAAUCUUCCGCAAUGGGCGAAAGCCUGACGGAGCAACGCUGCGUGAGUGAUGAAGGUCUUCGGAUCGUAAAACUCUGUUAUUAGGGAAGAACAUAUGUGUAAGUAACUGUGCACAUCUUGACGGUACCUAAUCAGAAAGCCACGGCUAACUACGUG